rnacentral:rRNA from 1 species
GACGAACGCUGGCGGCGUGCCUAAUACAUGCAAGUCGAACGCAGUGGGGACGGGUGAGUAACACGUUGGUAACCUCCCAUCAGAGGGGAUAACACUUGGAAACAGGUGCUAAACCGAUACUGAUGGAUGUACCCGCGGUGCAUUAGCUCGUUGGUGCGGUAACGGCCCACCAAGGCAACUAUGCAUAGCCGACCUGAGAGGGUGAUCGGCCAAACUGGGACGGAGACACGGCCCAGACUCCUACGGGGGGAAGCAGUAGGGAAUCUUCGGUAAUGGACGAAAGUCUGACCGAGAAACGCCGGGUGAGUGAAGAAGGUUUUCGGAUCGUAAAACUCUGUUGUUAGGGAAGCGGUAUCUAACCAGAAAGCCACGGCUAACUACGUGCCAGCAGCCGCGAUAAUAC